rnacentral:rRNA from 1 species
UACGUAGGGUGCGAGCGUUAAUCGGAAUUACUGGGCGUAAAGGGCUCGUAGGCGGCCAACUAAGUCAGACGUGAAAUCCCUCGGCUUAACCGGGGAACUGCAUCUGAUACUGGAUGGCUUGAGUUCGGGAGAGGGAUGCGGAAUUCCAGGUGUAGCGGUGAAAUGCGUAGAUAUCUGGAGGAACACCGGUGGCGAAGGCGGCAUCCUGGACCGGCAUUGACGCUGAGGCGCGAAAGCCAGGGGAGCAAACGGG